rnacentral:rRNA from 1 species
AUUGAACGCUGGCGGCAGGCUUAACACAUGCAAGUCGAGCGGGGAAAGGUAGCUUGCUACCUGACCUAGCGGCGGACGGGUGAGUAAUGCUUAGGAAUCUGCCUAUUAGUGGGGGACAACCUCCCGAAAGGAAUGCUAAUACCGCAUACGCCCUACGGGGGAAAGCAGGGGAUCUUCGGACCUUGCGCUAAUAGAUGAGCCUAGGUCGGAGUGGCUAGUUGGUGGGGUAAAGGCCUACCAAGGCGACGAUCUGUAGCGGGUCUGAGAGGAUGGUCCGCCACACUGGGACUGAGACACGGCCCAGACUCCUACGGGAGGCAGCAGUGGGGAAUAUUGGACAAUGGGCGGAAGCCUGAUCCAGCCAUGCCGCGUGUGUGAAGAAGGCCUUUUGGUUGUAAAGCACUUUAAGCGAGGAGGAGGCUACCUGGAUUAAUACUCUAGGAUAGUGGACGUUACUCGCAGAAUAAGCACCGGCUAACUCUGUGCCAGCAGCCGCGGUAACAC